rnacentral:rRNA from 1 species
CGUGUAGGCGGACUCGCAAGUCGGUUGUGAAAUCCCUGGGCUCAACCUAGGAACUGCAUCCGAAACUGCUUGUCUUGAGUAAUGGAGAGGGUGGCGGAAUUCCCGGUGUAGAGGUGAAAUUCGUAGAUAUCGGGAGGAACAUCAGUGGCGAAGGCGGCCACCUGGACAUUUACUGACGCUGAGACGCGAAAGCGUGGGGAGCAAACAGGAUUAGAUACCCUGGAAGUCC